rnacentral:ncRNA from 1 species
CAGAGUAGGUUUCACUGCGUAAAGUGCCGGGCGGACGGGGAGUUGCCGCGCGGACGAAGCGAAUUUUUCGCGCGGUGGUGAAGCCGCAUCCCGCUG